rnacentral:misc_RNA from 1 species
UUGCCCUAUUAACUCGUACAAUUUUUGAUUUUUCAUACAAGUAUAAAAUAUAUGAACUCAUAUAAGUUGCAAUUUUAUACAUUUUUACUUCCGUGAGGUGUGUGUGGCGUAAAACAUUUGUAUAUUUGCACAUUUUUUGUAUGGAACUUGUAUGGAAAUCUUUAAACUAAGUUAGCUGAACUUAGUACUUGUAUUGAAAUCAUAGUUAAUGCUAAGUUAGGUCAGCUUAGCAGUUACUACUUGUAUUGAAAAUUAUACAUUUACUAACUAAUUCAUGUAUGUAAAGUGAGUUAAUAAAUUCUGUUAGUACCUGUAUGAAAUAUUAUUAUUUCUUAUACGAGUUCACAAAAUUGAUAUUUGUAUGAGUUAAGUAUAAGUUAUACGAGUUGAAUAAAUUAGUACUUGUAUGAAUGAUAUGAACUUGUAUGAGUUAGUAAAUUUAAUACUUGUAUGAAAAUUUGCAACUUGUACUAGAAGUUAAUAAAAUUUGUACUUGUAUGGAAAGCUAUAACUUGUACGAGUUACUGAACUUAUUACUUGUAUGAAAGUUAAUGAACUUAUAUGAGUUGAUAAAUUUUAUACUUGUAUGAAAAAAUUUCCACUUAUUUUUAUAUUAGUUGUGUGAUGAUAAUAAAUUUUGAAUUACCUGUAUGAGAUUUUAAUAUUGUAUGAGAAUUUAAUACUCGUACGAAAAUUUAGAACUUGUAUGAGUUUAUAAUAUUAGUACUUGUAUGAAAUAUUUAAACUUGUAUGAGUUUGAUAGAUUUAAUACAUGUAUGAAAAAUUUUAAAUGAAUUUAUAGUACAUAUUUAAGUAUUUCCAUGCAAAGUUUUGUUUUAAUUGUGUUUUUAAUCCUGGUCUUA